rnacentral:rRNA from 1 species
GAGUUUGAUCAUGGCUCAGAACGAACGCUGGCGGCAUGCCUAACACAUGCAAGUCGAACGAAGGCUUCGGCCUUAGUGGCGCACGGGUGCGUAACGCGUGGGAAUCUGCCCUUUGCUUCGGAAUAACAGUGGGAAACUACUGCUAAUACCGGAUGAUGUCUUCGGACCAAAGAUUUAUCGGCAAGGGAUGAGCCCGCGUAGGAUUAGGUAGUUGGUGGGGUAAAGGCCUACCAAGCCGACGAUCCUUAGCUGGUCUGAGAGGAUGAUCAGCCACACUGGGACUGAGACACGGCCCAGACUCCUACGGGAGGCAGCAGUGGGGAAUAUUGGACAAUGGGGGGAACCCUGAUCCAGCAAUGCCGCGUGAGUGAUGAAGGCCUUAGGGUUGUAAAGCUCUUUUACCAGGGAUGAUAAUGACAGCACCUGGAGAAUAAGCUCCGGCUAACUCCGUGCCAGCCGCCGCCGU